AGACCUUAUAGGCCAGUAGACAUAGUCGAACAAAGUCUGAGGCUAUAGAAGAUGGCUGCAUUAGUGGCCAAGGGACCUUCGCUGUCACACACCUGCUGCAAGCCCAUGGCACAAUGCCAGCUGAGGUCAGUUAGCCCGCCAGGCACAUUACCCUGGCAGCAGUUGCCAAGGUGACAGCAUGUCAGAGCCUGCCCAUUGAAUAGUACCGGGGGCUGACAGCCAACGCAUCGCUGCCUGUGACCGAUCCUUGGAACCUGUGGAAAUGGGGACCAAAACCACACAUAAAAAUGCUUAACGGCAUCUUGACUCUACACGUGGCAAGGGCCACGCUGCUAUAGUGUCAUUAGGGCUUCUGUAUCAAAGCACCAUGAUAAGGGCGGCAGAGAGGGGAAAAUAUCACAUACACAAUGUCAUAUUUAUAACAGUGGGGCUUCAGUUAUCCUGUGUUUGCUGUUAAUUAUUGCCACAUUGCAACACCAGACUUGGAGCUCCACAGGAAACAAACACUGAUUAACGUGAUUGGGCCUGCUGAGAAUUGCAGUCCGGUUGAAGUGUGCUGAUUGUUGAACCGUUCCCACCCUCUCACCCCAGCAGUCUUGCCCUGUUGCCCUCUCUCUGAGCCUUGAGAAGCAGGUCAGUGGCAGUUACUUCAAAAGAUGUCUGGGCUUUGCAUAAUGCAAAUAAGUCUAAGAAAAGAAAGUUUUAUAACUCUUCAUGUUUUUGAAAUGAUAGAGAAUGCAUUGAUUAAUAGGCGAUGGCGUAUAAAUGGCAAACCCGUAGUAAAAAAGCACAAGAAAAUAUUUUUAUAUUUUAUUUGAACUUUAUGUAGAUUGAUGCCUGGCAGGGCCGCUCUUUCAUAUUCAUGCUCAGCACUUUGGUUGCACGAGGGAGAGGGGGAGAAGGAAGUCUGUGUGGCUCUUUCCUGUCUCAUUCCUGAGUCUCACGGGCUCAUGUUUCACCUGCUACUAGCACAUGUGUAUGUAAGUGUAUUUAUCUUUGUGUUUUUUGAGCUAUGAAUUCCUUCCCUUUAACAUUUGAACUGCGUGACCAGAUGGAGUAGGGGGACGCCAUUGGAAGUUUUCAAUUAAAUGGAAGUUCUUGAAUGAACUGCUUCACUAUAUUGUCAGCUGAUGUGCAAAUAUACCUGAGGGUUGCAUUGCACUUAUGCUGUUACAGACUGAUCAUCACUGCCCCCUACUGGUUUUGCAUUUGGAAAUGACACAAUCGAAAUAAUUGUAAUGAUGUAUCAAGUAACAAGUUUAAUGCUGUUUAAUGGUGCACUACACU